GACGUAGGGCGCGAGCGUUGUCCGGAUUUAUUGGGCGUAAAGAGCUCGUAGGCGGCUCAUUGCGUCAACCGUGAAAACCUGCCGCUCAACGGUAGGCUUGCGGUUGAUACGGGUGGGCUGGAGUUCGGUAGGGGAGACUGGAAUUCCUGGUGUAGCGGUGAAAUGCGCAGAUAUCAGGAGGAACACCGGUGGCGAAGGCGGGACUCUGGGCCGAUACUGACGCUGAGGAGCGAAAGCGUGGGGAGCAAACAGG
rnacentral:rRNA from 1 species